CCUACGGGAGGCAGCAGGCGCGAAAACUUGGCAAUGCGAGAAAUCGUGACCAGGGAACUCCAAGUGCGUAGGGUAAGACCUACGCUUUUCUUGACUCUUCAAAGGUCUUGGAAUAAGGGGUGGGUAAGGACGGUGCCAGCCGCCGCGGUAAUACCGGCGCCUCAAGUGGUAGUCGCUUUUAUUGGGCCUAAAACGUCCGUAGCCGGUCUGGUGCAUUCGUGGGUAAAUCAACCCGCUCAACGGGUUGAAUUCUGCGAGCACGGCCAGACUUGGGACCGGGAGAGGUGUGGGGUACUCUCAGGGUAGGGGUAAAAUCCUGUCAUCCUGAGCGGACCACCUGUUGCGAAGGCGCCACACUAGAACGGAUCCGACGGUCAGGGACGAAGCCUAGGGGCACGAACAGGAUUAGAUACCCGAGUAGUC
rnacentral:rRNA from 1 species